rnacentral:rRNA from 1 species
CCCUUAGAUGUUCUGGGCCGCACGCGCACUACACUGAUGCAUUCAACGAGUUUUGUUUGUUCCUUGGCCGAGAGGCCUGGGCAAUCUUUUGAACUUGCAUCGUGAUAGGGAUAGAUUAUUGCAAUUAUUAAUCUUGAACGAGGAAUUCCUAGUAAACGCAGAUCAUCAAUCUGCAUUGAUUACGUCCCUGCCCUUUGUACACACCGCCCGUCGCACCUACCGAUUGAAUGGUCCGGUGAAGCCUCGGGAUUGUGGUUGGUUUCCUUUAUUGGAGAUUGAUUGCGAGAACUUGUCUAAACCUUAUCAUUUAGAGGAAGGUGAAGUCGUAACA